ACCCGAAGCCGGUGGAGUAACCUUUACAGGAGCUAGCCGUCGAAGGUGGGACAGAUGAUUGGGGUGAAGUCGUAACAAGGUAGCCGUAUCGGAAGGUGCGGCUGGAUCACCUCCUUUCUAAGGA
rnacentral:rRNA from 1 species